rnacentral:sRNA from 1 species
AUUUUCGACGUUUUCGGGGUUACUGUAGCGUCAAAAGUACGCAAACACCGA